rnacentral:rRNA from 1 species
AGUUUGAUUCUGGCUCAGGAUGAACGCUGGCGGCGUGCUUAACACAUGCAAGUCGAACGAAGCAGUUUAUUACGAUCCUUCGGGGUGACGAUUUACUGACUGAGUGGCGGACGGGUGAGUAACGCGUGGGUAACCUGCCUUGUACAGGGGGACAACAGUUGGAAACGACUGCUAAUACCGCAUAAGCGCACAGCUUCGCAUGAAGCAGUGUGAAAAGUAUUUUCGGUACAAGAUGGACCCGCGUCUGAUUAGCUAGUUGGUGAGGUAACGGCCCACCAAGGCGACGAUCAGUAGCCGACCUGAGAGGAUGACCGGCCACAUUGGGACUGAGACACGGCCCAAACUCCUACGGGAGGCAGCAGUGGGGAAUAUUGCACAAUGGGCGAAAGCCUGAUGCAGCCGACGCCGCGUGAGCGAAGAAGUAUUUCGGUAUGUAAAGCUCUAUCAGCAGGGAAGAUAAUGACGGUACCUGACUAAGAAGCACCGGCUAAAUACGUGCCAGCCGCGGC